rnacentral:tRNA from 1 species
GGGGUUGUGCCUCAGUGGUAGAGUACUCACCUAGCAUGUGUGAGGCCCUGGGUUCGAUCCUCAGCACCACA